UACGGAGGGGACUAGCGUUGUUCGGAAUUACUGGGCGUAAAGCGCACGUAGGCGGAUUUGUAAGUCAGGGGUGAAAUCUCCCGGCUCAACUGGGAGGGUGCGCCGGAAACUGCCUGGCUAGAGUGCGGAAGAGGAGAGUGGAAUUCCCGGUGUAGCGGUGAAAUGCGUAGAUAUCAGGAGGAACACCAGUGGCGAAGGCGCCGCUCUGGGCCGUAACUGACGCUGAGAAGCGAAAGCGUGGGUAGCAAACAGG
rnacentral:rRNA from 1 species